rfam:Bacillus ginsengihumi strain M2.11 NODE_9, whole genome shotgun sequence.
AAGCCUUUUAAAAGCAGUCCUGUGAGGCUGGCAAGGGAGCGUAUAUAAACAUGGUAUAUAAUAACCUUCUUGCCUCUUGGUAAGAAGGUUUAUUUUU